rnacentral:lncRNA from 1 species
GGACAGUCUUCCAGCUGAUGGCCAAACUUAAGUCACACUGCAUUAUUUCCUCCUCAUGCAGCAAUUCAUAUUGUUACUCCUAUAACCAGAGAAAAGUUGAAAUAUUCCUCGAUAUUAAAACAAAGACAAGAUGUAAAUAAUAACAACGCAAGCUUAUUCUAAACACUUUCCUAUUCUCAUUAAUUUCUUACUGCAGUCCUUUUUUUGUAGUGUCAGUGGAAGUAGGGAGAAUGUGCAUUUCAUGGCUUAUAAAAGUGUUGACAGUGCAGAAUAACAAAUUUAAACAUGAACUUUGCUCUAUUCGUUGAGUCUCUCUCCAGUCACGGUUUAAAAAAGGUUUGGAAUCUCACGGUAUCAACUUUGCUGUGUGCUAGAUGUUUCUUUUUACAGCCAAUGGCUCGAGGAAACUGUGCAGACACGGUGAUUUGAGCUAUCUGAUUGGCCAGUGUUAGUGCCUAUAGGUGCACUUGAUUUUCUCUCUGGGCGGAAUUCUACCUUCAGAAACAUGAAAUGGUUCAUGUGUCUGUCCCGGCACUAGGGAUUUCCGAAUCAAGUGCACCUACCACUAACAGCGCUAAAUGAAGGGAUGCGGAAUCAAGUGCACCUACCACUAACAGUGCUAAAUGAAGAGAUGCUGAAUCAAGUGCACCUACCACUAACAGCGCUAAAUGAAGGGAUGCUGAAUCAAGUGCACCUACCGCUAACAGCGCUAAAUGAUCACGUUUUACAGAAGUGUGAUCGACUACUAAUGCCUUGGAGAUCGACUACUAAUGCCUUGGAGAUCGACUACUAAUGCCUUGGAGAUCGACUACUAAUGCCUUGGAGGUCGACUACUAAUGCCUUGGAGAUCGACCAGUUGAUCGACCAAAUCGUCCAUUUUCAACCGUUAUAUGUUUACGAGUGUAAAGGGUUAAGAGCUAUUGAAGAUUGAGAUCUGAAUAUUUAUUUAUAACACAAACAAGUUGUGGAUUGUUCUCCAUCCACCCUCCAUUCAGAAUAUACACUUUUCCUAGCCAUGGCAUGCUUAGUUCAAUAGCUAUAUAUAAAACCAAAUAUCCACCAAAAUGUAAAACUCAUUUGACCUUGGAAGAUGUUUCCAUAAAUGCACUGGCAAACAAUGCAUAUUAACUUUGGAGCAAGCUCAGGGCUCUUAACAAAACUCCCCAGGCUAUCCUCAACAGGAAAAACUCCCCAGGCCAGAUGAUACUAUCCUCAACAGGAAAAACUCCCCAGGUCAGAUGAUACUAUCCUCAACAGGAAAAACUCCCCAGGCCAGAUGAUACUAUCCUCAACAGGAAAAACUCCCCAGGCCAGAUGAUACUAUCCUCAACAGGAAAAACUCCCCAGGCCAGAUGAUACUAUCCUCAACAGGAAAAACUCCCCAGGUCAGAUGAUACUAUCCUCAACAGGAAAAACUCCCCAGGUCAGAUGAUACUAUCCUCAACAGGAAAAACUCCCCAGGUCAGAUGAUACUAUCCUCAACAGGAAAAACUCCCCAGGUCAGAUGAUACUAUCCUCAACAGGCACUAAAGGUUGGGGUGUGAACAUUUAAACGUUAAAACGAAGUUGGGAUCCUUAACGUUAAGAAAAAUUCCCAACCGAAAAAUAUAUAUAUAUUUUUUUU